rnacentral:rRNA from 1 species
UACAGAGGGGGCAAGCGUUGUUCGGAAUUACUGGGCGUAAAGGGCGCGUAGGCGGCCUUCUAAGUCGAACGUGAAAUCCCCGGGCUCAACCCGGGAACUGCGUCCGAUACUGGAAGGCUUGAAUCCGGGAGAGGGAUGCGGAAUUCCAGGUGUAGCGGUGAAAUGCGUAGAUAUCUGGAGGAACACCGGUGGCGAAGGCGGCCUGCUGGGCAGUUGCUGACACUGAGGCGCGACAGCGUGGGGAGCAAACAGG